AGGUGAUGUUCAACACUGAUGGUUCUGCAUUUCCAGAGACUUUUUACUUAGGUGCAAAGAGAGCACGUGAAGUUGUCUUCUCUGUUCUACGUGAUGCAUGUAUUGAUGGUGAUCUUUCCAUUCCUGAAGCCAUUGAAGUAGCCAAAGACAUAUUUUCA